rnacentral:rRNA from 1 species
ACUCCUACGGGAGGCAGCAGUAGGAAUUUUCGCAAUGGACGCAAGUCUGACGAAGCAAUGCCGCGUGAGGGAUGAAGGUUUUCGGAUUGUAAACCUCUGUUAUAAGGGAAGAAAACCUGAUAUAGGAAAUGAUAUCAGCUUGACGGUACCUUAUCAGAAAGGGACGGCUAACUACGUGCCAGCAGCCGCGGUAAUACGUAGGUCCCG